GCUUGUGCUUUCUUUUUUUAUUACAUUUGUUUGCUCGUAAAAGUGUCGAAAUUAAUGAGCGCUAUAAAACCGUCAAACUUGAAUUUCGAACAGGCGAACAGAAGCCACAGCAGCAAGCGCAGCGCAGUCGCCGCCAUUCGCACUCACAGUUGAGCUCUCGGUCGUACGCACACAGACACCCGCUCACACACACACAAGCACGCAACACAUUAACAUACACGUGCGCGUGCAGACAAUACCGACGUCGCUGUCGGCGUUGAGCCAAUGCUGCCCAGGCAAUUGCCAUAAAGCAGCGUCAGAACAACGGAGAGCGACAGAGAGAGUAAUCACGCACACAAACACACGCACACACAUGUUCAGCCAGCAAAUGAAGUUGAAAGAAACAUAAGGGCGGGAAAAUACUGACCUGCGAUCAAAGAGAACACUGCAAAACGAAAACGACACUGCCAUCAGCCGCUGACGAAGCAGUAGUACAAAGGGAAAGGGAAAAAUAUUUAAAAAGAAAAACAUGGCGGGGGCACUUCUUGCUGCAGGAUAUUUGCUUUUUAAUGGAAUUUUUGUUUGUUAAAUAUUUAUAUUUAAAAAUUUAUUUAAUACAUAGAGCACAAUUUCCAAAUCCAAAUUGCUUAAGCUAAGUAUAAUAUAAUAUGCAUAUAAAAUGGCGUAUUUGUUGCCGGGUUCUUUAUUUUUUUUUAGUUCUUUUUUUUUUGUUUUGGGAAAGUAACUUAAAAUACUUUGAGAGGCAACGCCGAUAUCUUUAGCCAGCAAAUGCGCCCGUUGCUCACCGGUUUAUCUCUUCUUUUUUUGCUUGUCUUCUCUGAGGGCUGAUUGUUAAAAACAAGUUACAUACAAACAUACACAUAUAUAUAGUAUAUAUAUAUAGUAGCAGUAGGGGUGAGAGGGGAGAACAAAAAGGUAGACCAGAAGAAUAAACUCAAGCAAAUGUUUAGCUAAUUAAUGCAAAAGAUGCUGAGCCCACACUGGAUCCGGUUAUACUAUAUAUAUAGAUAUAGAUGUUAGGGGUAGGGGCAGGGGUAGACUGGGAGAUUGAGGUUAACUACAAUUAAACAUAAUCAUUAUGCACAAUUAUUAAUCAAUUACACGCGCACACUCACAUACAUAUAAAGAACGAGCAAGAGAAAUUACACAAAUUUAAAAUAGAAAACAAAAAAUUGAACUAAACGUGAACUGCAGUCAAUAUUAACGCCAAC